AAGAGACCUCUCCUGGCUGUACCAAAGGCAUCUAUCCUUGAAAGAAAUCAUUUUCCGAGCGUGCCCAGAAGCUGCAGUAUCUUGUAACUGGAACUAGAAAGUGAGAAGGUGCAGCUCGCGGGCACCACCGGGACUGGCUCGAUCGAUCGGCUAACGGAGGCAGUGUGAUCCUGCAGAUGAAGCAGGUGUCGGAGACCGACUUCCCCCAGCAGGUGUGAAAACAGAGGCGCUCCACACCACCUACAGCCAGCAGCUGCAACCCCAUAAAAGCCGCGGAGACCGUGCCUCCCAGGAGGACGUACUGAUACUAGAGUGGAACGUAAGCCACCCGAAAUCCAGGGAGUGGUUACUUCAGGGGGUACAGCCCCUGCAGUCCUGAACGUGAACUUGGUGAGAGUGGGUUACACUCAGUGGGGC